GACGAACGCUGGCGGCGUGCUUAACACAUGCCAGUCGAGCGGAAAGGCCCUUCGGGGUCCUCGAGCGGCGAACGGGUGAGUAACACGUGAGUAACCUGCCCCAGACUUUGGGAUAACCCUCGGAAACGGGGGCUAAUACCGGAUACGACACAGCUUCGCAUGGGGUCUGUGUGGAAAGUUUUUCGGUUUGGGAUGGGCUCGCGGCCUAUCAGCUUGUUGGUGGGGUGAUGGCCUACCAAGGCGACGACGGGUAGCCGGCCUGAGAGGGCGACCGGCCACACUGGGACUGAGACACGGCCCAGACUCCUACGGGAGGCAGCAGUGGGGAAUAUUGCACAAUGGGCGGAAGCCUGAUGCAGCGACGCCGCGUGAGGGAUGACGGCCUUCGGGUUGUAAACCUCUUUCAGCAGGGACGAAGCGUAAGUGACGGUACCUGCAGAAGAAGCGCCGGCCAACUACGUG
rnacentral:rRNA from 1 species